CAAGAGACCAGAGACUCCGCUGAAGGAAGCUGGUUCUGUUUGUGCAGAUUGCCCUGCAUUGUUUCUUCCUACCUUUGCUUUUUUCAAAUGUCUGUGCCUCUCUUUUGAGAACCUGCCCCCAAAUAUCGCUAUUUUCUUUGGUGUUCUAUUAAAGUGGAUUUAGAGCAUUGGCAUAGGUCCUUUAGCUCCCCCAGGACAUACGAAUCCCAGGUUUAGUGCAACUGAGAACCGUCCUCUGUCCGUCUUCAGUGUAUCGCCUCCAAAUUCUUCCUUCAUCGCGGGCUCUGGGGACACGUGGAGAGCUGUUCUCUCGCUCUGUCUUUGCCAGCUGGCAAAGGUCCGGCUCAGUUAGAAGGCCCUGGAGAGACUGACCCAGGAGAAAGGGCUUCCUCCUCCUGGUUCUAGUGGCUUGCUUGUCCCUUGCCCCUGGCACUGAUUCUCCAUCACCUGGUUUCUAUGGUACCCACAGCUUCCUCAGCGUCUAUCACCUGCAAAACACACAGUCAGCAGCACCCAAUGGCCUCCAGGCUUCCCCCACACUCAGAAAAACUUGUCCUUUUAUAGAUGGUACCCAUGUCACAAAGAGACCACCUGAGAGCAGCUUUCCCUGGCACCACAGCCACUUCCAUGUCAUCCUCUGAGCUGUGGCCAUGUCCUCCUCAACAAGAUCUGCAUUCCAUCCUCCAGAGCCGAAGUCCAAAGUCAAGAUGUCAAAAGUUUGAUCUCUCCUGAGAUGUCUCUCUGUGGCCUGUGGAUGACUGCCCUCUCACUGUGUCUUCAGAAGCUCCUCUCUGUAUGCGCACAUCCCUGGUUUUCAAUAUGAUGGAGAAGAAACUCUGCAGUGGUGAGAAGAGCAUCUGCCUCCGCUCUGGAAGACUUGAUUUGAGGCCAUCUCAGUUUCUCAUCAAGAAAAGAGGUGUGACUGGAUUCAAUGAGCUUAUGCAAAUGAAAGUGCUUUAAAACCUGCAGAGGACUUUAUGAUAAACUGGAGUAUUCCUUGAAGUAAUAAGGAAGACAUUGAAAGCCUUAUGGACUUGUUUAAUUGACUCAGCCUUUAGUUUUGGAAAAGAUGGAGACUUCAUGGCCUCUAGAAUUUCGGCCAGCAAGUUUUCUGGCAAUUUCUACACUCCCUCAUGGAAGGGAAGAAAAGAAACUAUAACCUGGCGCUCAUUUUAUUCCAUAUCAGAGCCACUCUCUGCCAAGUAAUUCAGUGUUUUCAGUCAUCUUACUCCGUGACAAACUGAGGCACCUAGUGAAAUUGAGUUGUCAGGUCCUUGGGGGAAGGGAACCCAUUUGUGGAGGUGUUUCACCUACAAAACAUUGCACAUAUCUCAUUUAAUCCUCGCUGCAUCCCUAGGAAGCAAAUAUGAAUUCAAUCCAUCUUACAGAUAAGGAAACUGAGGCUCACGGAGGGUGAAUAACUGGCCAGUGGUAGACCAGAAAUUAGAACUCAGAUCCACCUACAUCUGCUACCGCUUGUCUUAUUGCCUCCUUUAUUAGCCAGAACUUAUUCACCCUGACCUCAGUUUAAUAGUGCUAUUAGUGACAUUAUUGUCAUGGGGUUGAAGCAAUUCACAGUUGAUUCUAACAGAGCUUGAAUUAAUAAAACUCUCCAGUGAUGGGGUAUGUAACGGUUCUCAAGCUACAUCAUCGAUAUUAAAAAUGAAGCACUGGAUUUAAAAACAUAUAUUUUGGCAGAUAUUCAAGCGCACGCUGCCACGGUACCCACCGGCCUUUGCCUCCUGUGAUCUAGAGUGGUCAUCCACGGCAGCAUUUGCUCGUGUCUGCCCGGCUCUGCCUUCACUGUUUGUGUGUGCACCCACUUAAUCUGUAGAGAAGUAGUGUCCACAAAUUUAUCUAGCAAAGGAAAGUCCACUUCUGAUUACUAUUUGUUUGCCUUUCUGGUUUUUAUCAGAUUCCACAGCUGAGAAAUAGCAGGCUUUUAUGAUUUCAAAUUCAGACUCUGGCGAGUGUGUGCUAGGAUCUUUAAAAGACUGGAAGCAGGUCCCUCCAUAAGCUUCACUUUGAAAUCUCGUUGGAAGCUUGUUCUCAUUUCAAAAGGAAAACAGAGAAAAAGAAACCCAACCAAACUUUCCCGAAAACGAAGAAGAGACGAGACAAGAGUUCAAAGAAGGAAUGAACGGAACUGCUGCUUUAAUAACGGGAGGGAGGAAGUGACCUCGGGCAGGAGCAUCCAGGAGGAGCAUCGUCCCUCCACGCGUCCCUUGGAGUCCUUGCUUCCCAAGAUCUUGCAGUUCAGGGUGUCAGUGUCGGGCUUCUCGCCCGGAGAGUGCCUUCUUUGGGAUCAGGAAUUGUUUUGCUCCUCUUUUCCUCCUGUUCUGCAUCUUGUCUAAUCUGCCUUCACGGGGACCAUCGCCACCUCUGAUUGGACCCUCAUGGCGGCUCCUUGAAGAGACCCUGCCUUCCAGUCUCCUCAGCAUGACCUCCUGUCCACUCUGUAAUGGGAACCCCCCCCCUGCAACUUCCCCAGGUGGUGCCAGAUGGCUGCGCAGAUGCCAUCUGAACCCCGUCACCAAAGCCUUGCAAAACUUAGCCCUCACCAGAUACUUUGUCAACUGUGUUUCCCACCAUCUCUACUCUUCCCCGCCCCCAGCCCCUGCAACCCAGGAAGGAAACAGGAUGAUGGAAUAGUGAAGACCAUGAGGUGGGGGGCAUCUUUAGACUGAGUGGUCAGAGGAGGCCUCUUUGAGUAUGUAGCAUUUGUGGGGACCCUUGGGAACCCACCACAUGGAGAAGUGCGGAAGGAAGUCAGACACCCAGACCCAAAGGCCCUGUGGAAAGACGGAGCUUGGCCUUAGGGGGAUAUAAUGGAGACCCCUGUGCCCCGAGCAGAGUGGGGAGGGGCUGCGGAGUAGGCAGGAAGCAGGUUCUGUGGGAGGUUGUUCAGCCUUGAAAAGUGACCUGUGUGAGUCCCUGCAUGUGUUUCUGCAGGGCAGUGAGAUGACAGGGGCUAUGUUUUAGAAGAUAAUCCUAGCAAGGGGUGAGUCGCAAUGGGAAAGGGUCCACUUCCAAAUGACUCUUCCAAAGUCACUUUUCUGAUUAUCAGCUCUAUAGGAGAGAAAUGAUUUCUCUUUCAAUAAGGUGUCAGAAGGGCUGCAAUCUUUCUUAGGGUCUGCAUUUUUGAAGUCUCCUUGGAGUACACGAGUGUCAAAGGAUUUCUUUGGAACUAUCAUGAAUUUUUGGUGACAUUCUACUCAUUAAAGUCAUAAAUCCGUUAUUAACAA